rnacentral:rRNA from 1 species
AUUGAACGCUGGCGGAAUGCUUUACACAUGCAAGUCGAGCGGCAGCACGGGGGCAACCCUGGUGGCGAGCGGCGAACGGGUGAGUAAUACAUCGGAACAUGCCCAGUCGUGGGGGAUAACACUUUGAAAGAAGUGCUAAUACCGCAUACGUCCUGAGGGAGAAAGCGGGGGAUCGCAAGACCUCGCGCGAUUGGAGUGGCCGAUGUCAGAUUAGCUAGUUGGUGGGGUAAAGGCCUACCAAGGCAACGAUCUGUAGCUGGUCUGAGAGGAUGAUCAGCCACACUGGGACUGAGACACGGCCCAGACUCCUACGGGAGGCAGCAGUGGGGAAUUUUGGACAAUGGGGGCAACCCUGAUCCAGCCAUUCCGCGUGAGUGAAGAAGGCCUUCGGGUUGUAAAGCUCUUUCGGCAGGAACGAAACGGUGAGCUCUAACAUAGCUCGCUAAUGACGGUACCUGAAGAAGAAGCACCGGCUAACUACGUG